rnacentral:tRNA from 1 species
GGAGGGAUGGCCGAGUGGCUGAAGGCGGCGGUCUUGAAAACCGCAGUGGGUGUUUCACUCACCGGGGGUUCGAAUCCCUCUCCCUCCG